rnacentral:rRNA from 1 species
AUCCCGCCGGAGGCUACCGCUAUUGGAGUUCGAUUAAGCCAUGCGAGUCGAGAGUCUUAGGGACUCGGCGUACCGCUCAGUAACACGUGGGUAACCUGCCCUAUGCUGGGGAAUAACCUCGGGAAACUGAGAAUAAUGCCCCAUAGUUCACUACGCCUGGAACGGUGAGUGGAUGAAAGCUCCGGCGGCAUAGGAUGGGCCUGCGGCGUAUCAGGUAGUAGGGGGUGUAACGUACCUCCUAGCCUUCGACGCGUACGGGUUGUGAGAGCAAUUGCCCGGAGAUGGAUUCUGAGACACGAAUCCAGGCCCUACGGGGCGCAGCAGGCGCGAAAACUUGACAAUGCGAGAAAUCGUGAUCAGGGGACUCCAGUUGGCUGGAUCAAAAGUCCAGUCUGAACCGACUUUAAAUCGGUCGGGUAAUAGGGGCGGGAAAGACCGGUGCCAGCCGCCGCGGUAAUACCGGCGCCCCAAGUGGUCGUCACUAUUAUUGGGCCUAAAACGUCCGUAGCCGGUUUGGUAAAUCCGUGGGUAAAUCAGACAGCCCAACUGUCUGAAUUCUGCGGGGACUGCCAGACUUGAGACCGGGAGAGGUGCGGGGUACUUGCGGGGUACCGGUAAAAUGGGAUCAUCCCGUAGAGACCACCUGUUGCGAAGGCGCCGCACUAGAACGGAUCUGACGGUCAGGGACGAAGCCUAGGGGCACGAACCGGAUUAGAUACCCGGGUAGUCCUAGGUGUAAACGCUGUGGACUUGGUGUCGGGGACCUUCUGAGGGUUUCCGGUGCCGGAGUGAAGAUGUUAAGUCCACUGCCUGGGGAGUACGGUCGCA